rnacentral:siRNA from 1 species
AUGAGUCUGUCACAAUGUUGUUGA